CACGUAGGGUGCGAGCGUUGUCCGGAAUUAUUGGGCGUAAAGAGCUUGUAGGCGGUUUGUCGCGUCUGCUGUGAAAAUCCGGGGCUCAACCCCGGACUUGCAGUGGGUACGGGCAGACUAGAGUGUGGUAGGGGAGACUGGAAUUCCUGGUGUAGCGGUGAAAUGCGCAGAUAUCAGGAAGAACACCCGUGGCGAAGGCGGUUCUCUGGGACGGUACUGACGCUGAGACGCGAAAGCGUGGGGAGCGAACAGG
rnacentral:rRNA from 1 species